GUGGGGAAUAUUGGACAAUGGGCGCAAGCCUGAUCCAGCCAUGCCGCGUGAGUGAUGAAGGCCUUAGGGUUGUAAAGCUCUUUCACCGAUGAAGAUAAUGACGGUAGUCGGAGAAGAAGCCCCGGCUAACUUCGUGCCAGCAGCCGCGGUAAUACGAAGGGGGCUAGCGUUGUUCGGAUUUACUGGGCGUAAAGCGCACGUAGGCGGUUUGUUAAGUCAGGGGUGAAAUCCCGGAGCUCAACUCCGGAACUGCCUUUGAUACUGGCAAGCUAGAGUCCGGAAGAGGUAAGUGGAACUCCUAGUGUAGAGGUGGAAUUCGUAGAUAUUAGGAAGAACACCAGUGGCGAAGGCGGCUUACUGGUCCGGAACUGACGCUGAGGUGCGAAAGCGUGGGGAGCAAACAGGAUUAGAUACCCUAGUAGUCC
rnacentral:rRNA from 1 species